rnacentral:misc_RNA from 1 species
ACAUCAUCGGGCGUUUUGUAUUUCAGGGCCAGGUGUGGCCGUUCAUGGUUAUAAAUUGCCACGGACUCUUUUACUAUUUCCCGCGCUUGCUCCAGGUCUGCAGGACGCGAGAGUAAAAACUCAUUUUUCAGUAUCCCGUUUAUUCUCUCAGCCAGCGCAUUCUGGUAGCAGUCGUAACCAUCGGUCAUUGAACAGGUUAUUCCGUUUCGCUCAUGAACUGACUGAUAAAGUACCGAACAGUAUUGCAGUCCUCUGUCAGAGUGAUGUAUCAGCGGACCUGUCGUUUUUCUCCGCCUCAGAGCCUGCCUGAACGCCUUUACCACAUUUUCUGUCUGCAGGUUUUCCCCGACAUGGUAACCCACGAUUUUUCUGGAGCAGGCAUCGGUGACCAGACUCAGAC